UAUAACUUUAGUUCUUUUACAAUUAUAAACAUUAACAGAGAAGAAGAAAUAAUACCAUUGUUUUCUAUAUUCUACAGUUUCCCAGAUAUCUUUUAUUGUAACAACUUGUUUUCCAAAAGAAAGGGACCAACAUGAACAUGACUACCCCUGAAGUAGUUCUUAAACCAAACAACUACCUUGAUUGGAGCAUAACACUAAAAGCUUAUCUAGAGGCUCAAGGUGUUUGGGAUGUGGUUGAUGAAUCAGAACCGUCUGAUCAACCAGAAGAAAAUCAAGGUCAUCAAGAGCAUGUAAAACACAAACUCCUCCUUUUCAGAAUUUGACUUGGCUUCUUCUACAAAACGUUUGGAUAAUGGCAAUGCUUCGAGUCCAGUUUAGUUUAUGUUAUGCAGCAAACAUGGACUUCAAAUGUUCUCAGAGAUGUACAACAACCAAAUCACACCUAAACCAAAUACCAAACACUGCAGCAAGUAACACGUGCAGACAGAAAACACAGAGAGUUUAUACUGGUUCAGAGCAGAAAAGUCUCCUAAGUCCAGUGUGGUGGCCUUGCCAUCUCAAUCCACUAAUAUCAAAGAGUUACAGACUACAAGAGAACAAUGGUGGUGCAAUGAAUACAAACCCUCAGCUAUCACACACAGGUUUGUACACUUAUACCAAAUUCCCAGAUAAUAAUUCUUUGAACUACCUGGAGAAAAGAAUCCCAGUUCAAAAAGUCCUUCUGUAGAUACCAAAGUUGUGUUUUCUCUCAUAAAUUCUGAAGGUCUAAUGGUAGCAAGCGAAGCUAACGUUGCUCUACAUAGAGAAAGUCUCAAAACAACAAAGGUAACCAUAAAAGAAAGGAACUCCAUUAUUUUCAAGCUCAUGAUGAUGCCAAAGUUACCACAGCAACGGAAUUAACCCCAUUAUUUUCAAGUUCAUGAUAAUAUUCGGGGUACUUUUCAGGCAUCUUCUUGUAAAAUCAGUCAGACUCAGGCAUGGGAAAAUGCAUGUGGUAGUGAACGCUCUUAACCCCACAUUUGACUCAAUGGUAAUGGUGAAUAUUUAGUUAACUGUUAUACUGUUGAUGAUGGAAUUCGACAUGAAGAAAAGUGCACAAGUAUAAUUGAGUACGCAAUGUGAAGGUUGACCAAAUCCACAUUCGGACCAGCCUUGUUAAAUAACCAAAUACAUCAAGUAAACAAAGAACCAAAUACAUACUGGGAUGGGAUGUUAAGAGACCUAAUGGUAGUGGGGCUAGUUUCCAGGUGGUCACACUGUUGGAGUGGCAUACUGCUUUCUGUUCCAAGAUCGUCUUUACAACUUCAAUGGCACUAACAAGGCUGACCCAACAAUGGACCCAAUGUUGGUGAAAGAGUUGAAGCCAAAGUGUUGAUGCAGAAAACAUCAUAAUACUUGUUGGUUCAGCUCACACUUAACUCAUGCCACUCUUGUUCUUGCACGUGUCUUGACAAUGGUUUAGUCUGUUAAGCCAGUUAGUUUCAGUUUCUUGGUUUUAGUUGAGUCUGUCAUUCUGAUAUGUUCUGAUUGGUCCCUUGUGUCUAUUCAAGUGUAUCUGUUUCAUUGUAAUAAAAAGUGUGACAUAAGUGAGAUCAUGGUAAUACUAAAAAAUAGAGAGUGAAAGAGAGACUGGAUUUGUCAUCACUCUAUUUUUCCUUGCUAGCCUUCCUGUGAGAUUAUUUGGGUGGAUGCAGUUUCCUCCUCUUAUACAGAUUUUGAAAUCUCCCUAUGGACCAAGCAUCUUCAGCCCGAAAGUCCAACGCUGGCUAUAGAAUAUUUGUUUUAGUUGUAAGGAUAUAUUGGUGUGUUGAUGAUCAUUUAUGUUUUAUUUGCUUAAUUAACUUGGAAAGAAACCUGUUUAUAUUGAGUGAAACUAAU